rnacentral:lncRNA from 1 species
GAAAACUAUGUGAAACUUGAAUUAAGAAACAGAAGAGAAACUUGAUUUAAGAAACAGAAGUGAAACUUGAUUUAGGAAACAGAUGUGAAACUUGAUUUAUGAAACGAUCGACACGACUUCAGAAAACUAUGUGAAACUUGAUUUAAGAAAAACCAGUUCAACUGAUAUGGAAACCUAACAUAUAGAAAUAGACCCAGUUUUGCUUUCCUCAAGGAAUGACAAUUGAAACGAUCAAUGGAAUGAUCAACACAAAUGGAAAAUAUUACUGUUAUUGUAAUAUUAUAUAAUAUUAUAUAUAUGAUAUAUAUUAUCUAUAUAAUAUAAUAUAAGUUAUAUAUUAAAUGAUGAGGAUUUCAGGCUGGUUAAUUUUAACACUGCAGAUGAGUAGCAGGCUCCAAGGAGCGGAGUUUGCUCGCCCUUUGUUGGGAGGCAUUAACAUUUGUAGGGGAAACCUCCAUCUGUGGGGUUGCCUCCCUCUCUGUGCCAGGAAGAAGGGAGAUGACCUUGUCGCUGGAAGCUCUUCAUCAUGCCAAAGACAAGAAUUUAAGGGCGUGAGUGUUUUUAAAAAACAAAAAAAAAGGCUUGAUUCCAAAGAGAUGGUGUCUCUCUGCUUUUCCUCCCGCUCCGUCUUCUCAGCUAACACUCCAGUGUUCCCAGAACGCUCCAUCUUGGCGUCUUUCUGCAGUUGGCACUCUGGACUGCUAUGGUGCAGACAUUCGUCGAUGUUCCAGGUUGUCUUGAAAGAAUGGAUUACAAUACGACAUCUGCCUAGGUCUCUCGAUCCAGUUUCCUGCCUUGUUCCAGUGUUCCGUGUCCUCACUGAUUUCUCGGCCUGCUUCACCGAAGAGUUACUGAGACUUCGGCUCUAAUCUCCCAGCAAACGGGUGAAUUCCAAGUGGCGUUUUCAAGAGAUGUGUCAACCUAGUCCACGUUUGCCCGGAACGCCUGCCCACUUUCUGGGAUCACAUGAAGCCAUCCGGGGUCGUGUAGUGACUGUUCCUACAGCAACAUGUUGUCGUGGGCAUCCAUUCCCCCAGGGCCAAUUCGAGGAACUCCAGGGUUUCCUUUGGGUAUUCUGGGAGCUGUGACACUCGGGGGCCUUCCAGCCCCUGGGAGAGACUGCCCCUGCCGGGACUGGCCAGUUCCUAAAGACGGUGAACGGCUGUCUUGGGGGCUGGCCUUUCUGGUGCUAGACAACUUCUUCUUUCUCGUUUUCAAAUGUUUGGGAGCCUUUGUGGCCUCCGUGGCUUCAAAUGAACAUUUCCUAGCAGGCAAAUCCAAGGGGAUUGGGGCGGCUUUCUUGAGACACUACUAGCUCCUUUUCCAAGGCUCCUAAGCCAAGCCAGUCUUUUCCCUGCCCUGAAUUGUCCCAGGGCCAGAUCCCAGGCCACCAGACACCGCCCCUCUCGCUCCCCCCUCCAGGACGAUUCCGAUUGGACGACUUUCAACUGUUUGCUCCGCCCCACCACGGAGCCCUUCCUGGAAACCCCAAUAAAGGCUCUGUCUCAGGCCCUCCCCUCUCACUCUUCUCCGCCAACCCUCCCCAGGCCUGCGGCUUCUCCUGGGUCCCUGCCUGCUGCGUGGCGCCUCUCCCGACCGAAGGAGCGAAGCAGCAGCCUCGGGACCCAAUUCCUGCAUACAUGGUGUAAGCAAACAAUGUGAAACUUGGUUUCAGAAACAGAUGUGAAACUUGAUUUAAGAAACAGAAUGAAACUUGAUUUAAGAAACAGAAGUGAAACCUGAUUUAGGAAACGAUCGACAGGACUUCAGAAAACUCUGUGAAGCUUGAUUUAAGAAACAGAUGUGAAAGUUGGUUUAAGAAACGAUCGACACGACUUCAGAAAGCUAUGUGAAACUUGAUUUAAGAGAAACCAGUUCGGCUGAUGUGGAAGACUCCGACCAUGUAGAAAUGGAGCCUGUUUUGCCUUCCUCGAGGACUGACAGUUGAAACGAUCAAUGGAAUGAUCAGCACAAACAGAAAAUAUUACUGUUACUGUAAUAUUAUGUGAUAUCCUCUAUAUCUAAGAUAUAUAUUAUAUAUAUGAUGUAAGAUAAGAUAUAUAUUAAAUAUAUAAUGUAAUAUAUAUUAUAUAACAUGUACUCUCUCUCUAUAUACAUAUGUAUCACGUAAUGUAUAUAUAUAAUGUAAUAUAAUAUUGCUGUUACUGGAAAGAUGACCGCAAGAAGUUGAUUUUUUAUCUACCAGAAGUUUUCUUCGCUGUGUUUUAAGUCGGCGAUCUGCUUUGAUCGUUUUGUUCGCUUCUGCUGUUUUGAGAAGAACGAUUUGAAAGUGAGCCAAAUAAAGUGUUCUUAAAUGGAA